rnacentral:rRNA from 1 species
GACGAACGCUGGCGGCGUGCUUAACACAUGCAAGUCGAGCGGUAAGGCCCUUUCGGGUACACGAGCGGCGAACGGGUGAGUAACACGUGGGUGACCUGCCUUUAGCUCUGGGAUAAGCCUGGGAAACUGGGUCUAAUACCGGAUAUGACUCCGCGGUGCAUGCUGUGGGGUGGAAAGCCUUGUGCGGCUGGAGAUGGGCCCGCGGCCUAUCAGCUUGUUGGUGGGGUGAUGGCCUACCAAGGCGACGACGGUAAGCCGGCCUGAGAGGCGACCGGCCACACUGGGACUGAGACACGGCCCAGACUCCUACGGGAGGCAGCAGGUGGGGAAUCUUGCGCAAUGGGCGAAAGCCUGACGCAGCGACGCCGCGUGAGGGAUGACGG